rnacentral:rRNA from 1 species
UAGGGAAUCUUCGGCAAUGGACGGAAGUCUGACCGAGCAACGCCGCGUGAGUGAAGAAGGUUUUCGGAUCGUAAAGCUCUGUUGUAAGAGAAGAACGAGUGUGAGAGUGGAAAGUUCACACUGUGACGGUAUCUUACCAGAAAGGGACGGCUAACUACGUGCCAGCAGCCGCGGUAAUACGUAGGUCCCGAGCGUUGUCCGGAUUUAUUGGGCGUAAAGCGAGCGCAGGCGGUUAGAUAAGUCUGAAGUUAAAGGCUGUGGCUUAACCAUAGUACGCUUUGGAAACUGUUUAACUUGAGUGCAAGAGGGGAGAGUGGAAUUCCAUGUGUAGCGGUGAAAUGCGUAGAUAUAUGGAGGAACACCGGUGGCGAAAGCGGCUCUCUGGCUUGUAACUGACGCUGAGGCUCGAAAGCGUGGGGAGCAAACAGGAUUAGAUACCCUGGUAGUCCACGCCGUAAACGAUGAGUGCUAGGUGUUAGACCCUUUCCGGGGUUUAGUGCCGUAGCUAACGCAUUAAGCACUCCGCCUGGGGAGUACGACCCCANGGUUG